rnacentral:rRNA from 1 species
UACGUAGGUGGCAAGCGUUGUCCGGAUUUAUUGGGCGUAAAGCGAGCGCAGGCGGUUUCUUAAGUCUGAUGUGAAAGCCCCCGGCUCAACCGGGGAGGGUCAUUGGAAACUGGGAGACUUGAGUGCAGAAGAGGAAUGUGGAACUCCAUGUGUAGCGGUGGAAUGCGUAGAUAUAUGGAAGAACACCAGUGGCGGAGGCGACAUUCUGGUCUGUUACUGACACUGAGGCUCGAAAGCGUGGGGAGCAAACAGG